rnacentral:rRNA from 1 species
UACGGGGGGAGCAAGCGUUGUUCGGAUUUACUGGGCGUAAAGGGCGCGUAGGCGGUCAGCACAAGUCAGUUGUGAAAUCUCCGGGCUUAACCCGGAAAGGUCAACUGAUACUGUGCGACUAGAGUGCGGAAGGGGCAACUGGAAUUCUCGGUGUAGCGGUGAAAUGCGUAGAUAUCAAGAGGAACACCUGCGGCGAAGGCGGGUUGCUGGGCCGACACUGACGCUGAGGCGCGAAAGCCAGGGGAGCGAACGGG